GCCAGGCGUGGUGGCUCACGCCUGUAAUCCCAGCACUUUGGGAGGCUGAGAUGGGUGGAUCACCUGAGGUCAGGAGUUUGAGACCAACCUGACCAACGUGGAGAAACCCCAUCUCUA
rnacentral:SRP_RNA from 1 species